CCUACGGGAGACAGCAGUAGGGAAUAUUGCUCAAUGGGGGAAACCCUGAAGCAGCAACGCCGCGUGGAGGAUGAAGGUAUUCGGAUUGUAAACUCCUUUUUUUAGAGAAGAUAAUGACGGUAUCUAACGAAUAAGCACCGUCUAACUCCGUGCCAGCAGCCGCGGUAAUACGGAGGGUGCAAGCGUUACUCGGAGUCACUGGGCGUAAAGGGCGCGUAGGCGGGUUAGCAAGUCAGAUGUGAAAGCCUAUGGCUUAACCCUAGAACUGCAUUUGAAACUGUUAGUCUAGAGUAUGGGAGAGGUAGGUGGAAUUCUUGGUGUAGGGGUAAAAUCCGUAGAGAUCAAGAAGAAUACUGAUUGCGAAGGCGACCUGCUAGAACAUAACUGACGCUGAUGCGCGAAAGCGUGGGGAGCAAACAGGAUUAGAUACCCCUGUAGUC
rnacentral:rRNA from 1 species